GAAGGGAAACCGCGGCUGGAUCCGGGUCCAGAGUGCUGAGGUGAUCUUGGGGCAGCUUCCUAAGCUGUCUGCGGCCCUGGCGUGAGGAGCCCUGGGGCCCUGAGAAGCAGAGGGAGAAAGCCGCCCCGGCUGCCGCCCGAUUCAGCCCUCCUCAUCUUGGCCUGUAGAAGAAAACCUCCCAGCCUCUGCAUAGCCAAUGGAUAGCCCUCCUUUGUGUAGGAUUGGCAAAGCAGCUCUAUCUCAGCCAUCUUUCUGGACGUUCAUCUGACCCAUCAGACAAGAUGAGAAAACUGAGACUAGAGAGUUCAACUGACUUCAUCAAUAUUUCACAGCUAGAAAAGGAAGCUGUUGAUGAAUAGAAGUCUGGAGGAUAAGGAAAUUAUAUUCUUUUGAAUAAACAAAAUUCCUGGCCUUUCUUUACUCAUUUCUCCCAGACAAUGGAGAAGAGAAGCUCUUCAAUGGUUUAUG